UUAAAAUCUUAUUAAUAAUAGAUUUAUUCUCUCGUGUCGAUAAAUACGAUAUAAUAUGUCGAGCGUCGACGCGACACAAGAAACGAAAACAAACGGUUUAUCAUUGUUAUCAAAAUAUCGAUUUAACAGAGUCGUUUUCGAGACACGGAACAGAACGGACGCGUUGCUCGACGCUCCUCGCAAGAAUAUUAUACUGAUUGGACAAUUUCAUCUACACGAAGAGGCCAAGAAAUAACUUGAGGAAAAGCUGAAUUCGAAUUUCCUUAAUUAUUUAUCCAAUUAAAUACAUUUCCCUCAACGAUUUCUUCCAACACGAAUUGCUUCGAAAAAACUCGAUCACAUUUCCUUAUCCUCGAAAGAAAGAAAGAAGAAGAAAAAAUUCUCAAACAUUCCCCCCUCCAUUAAUUCCAAUCUCUCGAUGUCUUAAUAACAACCUAAUUGCGCAACAACUGAAAUCUAGAUGAAAUCUCAACUGGCCUCAACUGGUUGCAUGCCUUUUCAAUCUCGUCUCGAACACGUAUAGCAAUAUUUAACCAAGAUUAUCAGAGAGUCGGAGCGAGGACAGAGGCCCCUGUUAUUCCGUAUUCACGUUAACUGGGGACGGAAAUGGCCGGUCGUAAGGUCGAUUACACCCCUCGACCCUCCGCUUCUCCAAAGGAGAAGACAACGUUGAUACGGGAACGAUAGCGGUGUGGAAAUCUAAUUGAAGUGGGCGUAGACUGUAAUAGCCCUGGUUGUACGAGGGACAACCACGCGAAUGCCUCGUUCAAGACGCAUCGCCCGCCCCCCGAACAUUCCUAAGAAGAUUCGAGUAGUCGUCGGCCAAUUCAACGCGACAACGUGCAUAUCCUAUUCGCCAGCCCUUCGUUUCCCCCCGUUCUUCUUCCCGUGGGAAUAUACGAGGGCGACAACUCGUCGCUUCGACUGUGGUUCCAGGGAAUGGAUUUAAUAAAGGAGACGUGGGUGCAGACGAAAUCGGCGCGGAGGACGGAUAGCGGAAAAAGCGGAAGUCGUAAAUUGUCUCGGAAAAGGAUCGGUGCUGUAAAACCCGGCGGAGGAGGAUUUUAUCGAUUCAAUAUCUCUCUUUUCCACGAUUGGACCGGUGGAAACGCCGGUUACAAAGAGGCAGAGGACACGAUCCCGCAAAGGGGAUAUUCGGAAAAGUUACAGGCCGAGCUUAAACUUAAGCAGAAAGGCGCAAGAUCUAUGUGCCCGUGUACAAAGGAGAGUGUGCUAUUAAUCCUUAUCAAUUGUGACUCACGCAGCGGGGGAAAUGUAUCAUUUCGUAUCAACGAAGAUAAACUUAUUCGAAAAUGUAACACGAUUUAUUAAUGUUAUUUAAAAUAAUAUCAAUAUCUUUCAACGGACAGAAAAAGAGAUAUCACGAAUUUUAUAAUUAACUUGUAAUAAUCACAUUUGUUAUUACAGAGAAAAUUUAUUAACCGUAUUAAUCUACAAUGCCAAUUCUUUCCAAGUUUUAUCACUGAAUGUGCAAAGAAAUCGUGUAAAACAUUAACAUUAUCUUCGUUUUUCCGAUUCCACAAUAAUUCCUGAUGACGCUAUAACAAGAAGGAAUAAAAAAGAAGGUAGAGAGAAUUCGAUUCCAUUAUAAAAAAAAUUUAUCCAAGAUAUCAUCUAGGAUGCGCAUUGUCUAGAAGGCAGAAACCGUGUAAUUGAGGUUAGGAAGGGAGAGUAAGUGUCGCAGUAACGGCAACGAUUCCCAGUUACCAAGAUUACGUCCGCCAGAGCGAGUUAAUCAGCCAAUGAGCGGGAACAGAAGCGGAGAGCUAUUUAAUAGAAAGGAAUCCUCGGUUGUAAAAGAUAAAGAGGCAUGAAAGGAUGGGAAGAGGACGGGAAGGGACGAGUGGAAGACGGUCUCUCGAACGUUGGAACAACUAAUGAACCGUAUAUUCCCAUCCGGGUCUCGUGAUUCCUAUUGUGAAAUAGCCUGGUGGACAUGGCCGCCUCCUAAAAGAGGAGAGGCAGGCAAAGGAGGAUCUGAUGAAAGAGAUUGCUCUCCUAUCUAUCUUCUUGUCUUUCCCCAUUCAUCUGAGCGACCGUUGGUCGGGGGUGGCACGCGACUCCAGUGAAAAAAAAAAGAAGAAGGACCAUUUUGGGCACAAUCCGGAUUUUCAUGCUCGAAUAAUUGUUAACUCAAAGGAAGUAUAAAAGCUCCCUGUGAGGGAACCUCUUCCUUUCUCGAUCCAAAUCUUAUCCGGGAUCGAGACGAUUGGAUGGACGAGAUCCAAUAACAGAUACAGAGAUGUACAAGAGUAUCGUGUCGGUUUGAAGUUUUGUAGAGGGUCAUCCUGAUCAUCGAUUCAGGAAAAACAACAUCCUCUUUCCCAGCCUGCAUAGACCGAGGCGAGCAAAGAAAUACGUGCCUAGGCAGUCAAUUAUUAUCCACGCGGGUAAACGUGGCCGUCAAAACGACAAAUAAAAGAGGAGUAAAGUACAAGCGAGCACAAUGGAGCGUGGAAAAGUAAGAGCUGACUCCGAGAGGAAGGGAGGGCGAGAAGGGAGGUCUUCCCUGCCAGAUGUAUUUCACACAUUAACGACUUUGGUCACGGUGUGUCACUGCUCUGGAUAUCCAGUGACAUCUGGUAGGCCGUCCCUAUAAUGGAACAUUGGAAACCUCUGGCUGAUCGUGCCGUGGAACAAGCUUAAGGGUGGUUGAGAGAAAAUUGACGGUGUCGCCACCACACCGGGAUUAAGUGAAACUGAGAAUCGCCGUGUAAUUUUUUCGGACUAGAAACCGGGACACUCUCUAUUGUACUCGUCGAUCUGACUGGCGACGAAUCGGGCGGUGCUUGCGGUUGAAAGGUAGAAAAACCCUCCCGGGCAUUCAUCAAAGCGCAAUUUUUACCCACCUUUGUCAACCGAACGUUCGACAUUGAAUAUAGAGAUCGAUGAACAGUUGAAAGGUAUUGGUAACGAAUUUGAAAAAUAUCCCUUCUCUUUUAACCGUUCUGUUUCCAAUUGUAGUUAAUAGAACUGGUGAGGUGAUAUAUCGAUCGAUAUAUUGGAUAUUGGUUAUAUUGUCAUUAUAUUACCAUGAAUCCAAAAAGCUUUAAAUCUCCAUAUAAAGGGAGAUCUCCAUUUGUAAUUAUCCAAAUUGAUUGAUAUAAGUUAUUAUACCAUUGAACGUUAUAAGUAAUUGUAAUUAUUGGAACUUUAAUACUCAGUGAUACAGUGUUGAUUAUAAUUAUCUGUGUACCAUUGCAUGGCCCAUAAAUAAUUACAAGUGAAGCGUGGUGUUAAAUAUUCAAAGUUGUAGGAGAGAUGAUUAUAUUAUGCUGAAAAUGGUGAAAAACAUUUCAAUUUAUAAUUUUCCACUGGUGUGUUGCAAAAUUUGCUGUUGACUAUAAUCAUCCACAGCGCUGAGCACUCAUUGUGUAUGUACUACGGAUGCCAUCAGUCAUCUUGCUCUAAGCACUCGUGUAUACAGGUGACUGUAAUCACCCAGCGUUAAGCACUCGUUGGAUAACACGGGUAAUUAUAAUUACUACAAGUUUGUAAGUACUUUCUACAACAUCAUCAGAUAUUAUAAUCAUUUCUACGAAUUUGUAAUAACAUUUUUAAGAGAUUUUGAUAACACUAACAAAUUAGGCGAGGAAAAUUGCUUAUUUUCUUCGAUUAAGUAAAUUUAAUUAGGAUUAAAUUUCUUCAUUUUUUACUCUUGUGUGUAAAGAAAAGGAAAAUUUUCAAAAAAGAGGAUUAAGAAAAUAUUUUCCUUUUCUUUCUUCUUCUUCUUCUUUUUGCAAGAAAAUAUUCUCGCAUAAUCUAUUAUGUAUGAAUAGAACUUAAACUUCAACUUGAUAUUCGUUAGAGGAUCCGAAGUCGUUCUUUCUCAAGAGGAUAACGUUCUACUAGUUCACCAUAGAUUCUUAUGGGAAUUGCUGAAGUACGAAUUCAAUGGUGAAGUCUCCUACCUCGUUCGUUAUGCUCUUAAGAGAUCAACUUUCCAGGAUUAUAUCGUUAUUCUAACUUAGUCUCAAGAAAUAAAGACGACGAUGAACCAACCAAGGAAUAAAAGUUUAAUCGAUAAUGCAUCAAAUCUACCACCUAUUUUAUAAUAAGAUAAUUUUCAUUAACAUUCAAGUUGAAGAAUUUAAAUAAUACCAAUUAUUACGUAUAUAAAUAAAUUGGUAUCAAUUACUCUGCAGAAGUGGAAGAAAAAAGGAAUCAAGAACAAAAAAUGCAAUGUCAUCGAAACCAAAACCCUGAUACACGAUUAUUCUCUUUUUCUUCAUUCUAAAUGGUCACCGUGUACAACCCAAGAUCAUUUAUCACCCCAUAAAACAUCUUGUUAGCUUGGUCACGAAUAAAAUACAAGGAACAAUAUUUCACCAGAUAAAAUCUAUUGCUUCUAUUAUGUUAUACUAAUACUACAAUAAAACGAUCAUUAAUAGUAAGUACCUUAUCCCUUCAUUACAUAAUUCAAAUAUUUAAUUUCUUGCUUAACGAUCAAAUGAAAAAAAACAAUAUAUUCAUUGCAUUACAUUAUUAAAAGGAAGAUUCAAUUUCAAUAUAUCUUCACAUCCAUCCUCAUUCGAUCGUAAAGUAAAAUAGAAUGUCUCCAGAUAAUUUCUAAUCAACAAUAAUCACAAAUCAGCCUCCACGCCGCGACCAAAAUCGAUUUCUCUCGCGAGUUCUCAAGUGCCCUUUUUCUCGCGAGGACGAAAGAGGGUUUAGACCGAUCGACAAAGCGGACAAACAAAGCGCGCACAGUUUUGCAGAAUGUAAUUCGAAGCGUCAAGGGAGACGAAAACCUGUAAUAACCAGCGAAAGAAAACGUUAUAAGGGUGCAAUGUUAUUUACAACCCUUUCUUUCUACGCUGCGAACUGCGGCGUACCGAUACGACGAGACUCGCGCCAUCUGUCGUGGCGUUUUUCAUGCGCGAUUUUUCGCGGAGAGAAAAGGAAAAAAGGGGGGGAGAAGAAAAAGAAAGGAGACAGAAAACGUUUCUCUCUACAAAGGAGCAUCGUUAUUCUCUCCCCCCCUCCCGUUGUUUUGUUGCCUACGAAUUUUCCCAUCAGGCCCGUACAUUAUGUUUUUUUCCAUUGUGUUUUUGGCUCGACGGGAGUAUCGCGUGCCACAGCGGGGAAAUUUAUCGUUCUGUUCAACCGCGAACCGUUUAAUGCCGGAAAUUUAUCGACAAUGAUGAUCUUGUUUGCACGUCGAUAAACUUGAUUUUUCGAUUAUAACGUAUUUUCCCUUUUUUUUUUUUUUAUUUUUUUAUCGAUGGACAAUUGAUCGGUCCAUUGAGGGGUUGAAAUGAUGAUGGACGGAGGGAUGAUGUUUCUUUGAAAAAUUAGUUUAUUUUUCGAAUAUUUAAAUGGAUAAAAUUUUACGAACAAUCUAAAUUUCCCAGUGGAAAUAUUAUGAAUUGUUUCAUCCUGGAAUUGUUCAUCAUUAAUAUUAUAAUCCUACAUCUGAUUUCCAUUUAAAAUAAUUACGGACGGUACAAGUGUUCGUAAGUAUCGUAGGGUAUCAUUUAACUCGAAUAUUUUGCAAUUUCCUCCAGUGAGUCACGAAGUCGAUCCCCGGACGCGCAGACGAAAGUUUCAUAACGAUUAACCAGACGGUUAAAGUUGAAGCCGCCUCUCUGGAGAGGCACACGAGUUUAUUAAGUAGAAGUCUGGCUUCAAGGCUAGGAGGAACGGUAGCGGAAGAAGAACGAGAAAUGGAUAUUCGCGAUGUUGGGAACGCGACAGAGGGAUCAAAAGGGUAACGAGAAGCGAUGGGAUGAUGGAAGCGAAGGAGGCGUGGGAUAGUGAAAAGUAUGUGGAAAGAAUGGGCGACAAUUUCGUGAAAUGUUUAAAAUAUUUGAAGAUUUUUUUUUUGAUAGAAUAUUGUUCUAUUAAAAAAUAUCGAAAGGAAUUUUCGAAAUAUUUAAAAUAUCAAUUUUGUUUAAUGAGAAGGGAUACGUUGUAAAUAGAUUUACGACGACUUCGUAAUCGAAUGAAAGCAGAAUGAUGUCAUGCAAUCAUGAUCUUUACGACCGUUCAUCUUUUAUCUAGUUGAUUCAUAACAUUCUUGGAUGAAUAAUCCAUUAGAGUGUCACCAACGUUUCAAACAAAAGCGACUCAGCCAGCAAUACAUCAUACAAGUGCUUUAUUUCAAUGGGUAAAUCCCAUUGCGAGAUUGAAUGCUCAAACGAGAAAUUUACAGAAUAUUUCGACGAAUGGAAUAACACGUCACAGGGUAUUUAAUCCUAACAAUUAAAUACCAAGUUAACACAAAGGAAAACGAUUGCAUCUUUAUACCGAGGAAAUCUUAUUUCUGAAAGGAUAUAGAUACAUCUAUUAAAUCCCUUCGUAACGAGAUAGAAUAUGCAGAUAUCAUUCUUGCUGUAAUACUGGAAAACAAUUUUCCAAGAGAUAUCGAAUGUAUAAAGAAACAUUCAGGGAAGAAGAGGAGUCAUAAACAUUGUUGAAUGUUAUUUAUUUCCUUUCGAUCGAGAUCAUGGAGGUAUCAUGGGAUACACACAAAUAAAUUUUAAAUCAGUAGAGUUGUAACUGGACCACGUAAGCCAUUAUAAAUUAAUUUAACCAGAACUGUUAAAUAUAUAUAAUGUAUCGAUAACUACUAUUUCCUGUCUAUUUCCUGUUAAAAUUAAUCAUAUCUGUUUUCAGGAAUUCAAUUAAGCCAAAAGGAAAUUAUAUUUUUUCUAAAUUCGUCUAAAUUACCAUCAUAAAAAAUUCCAUCCACUUUCACGUUCAAAUAUAAUUCCUUCCUUCAUUCUAAGUUUUCAUAUUCUAAUUUUCUAACAGUAUCCGGUAUUAGAUCAUAGGAUUUAACAAUCUUUCAUUAACAAACCGAUUGUUACAAUCAACCACACUGUCAAUAAUCAUUAUACAACAGCGCAAAUUGAGGACAACAAUUCAUAUAUAAUCUAGCAUUCAGAUCGACAAUAUUGCACACAUGCAAGUAUUCUGAAAUUCUAUUUACUUUUCGCAUUCAAACAAUUGCUCAAUAUUAAUUUGGCAAAUAAUAUUUGCGAUUAGAAUCGUGUUUCAAUACAAUUACCUCGUGAUUUAUAACAUUGGAAAGAAAACACAUGAUUCAAUCGAUGUUAUAUAACAAAUACUGAAACAUUAUCGGGAGAAAGAAGUUCGAUUAAAAUAAAGAAGAGGGCAGUGCGUACGCAUAAAGAUGUAAAAUCAAAUAUGGCCGCUAGAAAAAUUUGAUAAAACACUAAUAAAGAUUUUCAAGUAUGUAUCCAAUUUAUGUAUGGCCGAUUUUAAUAAAAUUUAUGUAUGAUAUACUUUCCAAUAAAAUAUUUCACAAGUGUUUCUUUCAAAUCCCAAAAUCUAUUUUGAAGGGAUGAAAACAAUUCUUCAAGUUACGAGGUGGAAACAUAUUUCAUGGAAUGUUAAAUUUAAGGAAAUAAUUGAAAUAUAACAAGGAGUUGUUUUAAAAAAAAAAAUGUUUGAAACAAAGAAUUUCUUUUUUGUUAAAAUUAAUCAACCUGAAACUACCAUUUUCAGUAAUUAAAUUCUUUCCGUUAUAUUUAAAAAUCUAACAAAUAUUCAUAUCUCCUAUCAUAUCCACUAUCAUAUUCGCCAAUCAAAUCGAUCGAUUUUUCAAUCUACUCGAAAUUUCUUUCGAUAUAGCAACGUUUCGCAAACAAUCGAUCGAAAAAACAAUUUUCACCUGUAAACACGUGAGUGACGAUACAUCGUCACUAACCUAAUUCGCGAGUGUAAAACUCUUUAGGGGGACAGAGGCAGCGCGGUACAUAUUGUGUGUCGCGUUACGCGUUCAUAUGUGUUUGCCUUGUCGAGGAAGCAAUCAGUUCCAUCUACUGGCAACGUUUACAUGGAUCGUUUACAGCCCUCUUGUGUAGCUUUUGGCGUGCCAGGUAUUCCGAUACUCAUGCAGAUAUCCUACGUUAUGUUAUAUAUAUAUAUACAUAUAUGCGUGACUAUCGUUGCGAAUUUCAAGCCGCCGUUUCUACGCUGUUCUGUUUAGCCCUGACUCAACUUAUCUCGAAGCUAUCGGUUAUGCUCAUGCUUCACUGCUAUUGCAUAUUGUAAUUAAUAGCAAUAUGUAAUCGAUUAUGUAAAGCAAAAAAGAGAAUGUAUUGCAAAGCAAAUUAUAUAUAUUUAGAAAAUAUAAAUUCGAUAUUUCUAAUAAUUAAACUAUGGAUGAACAGAAGAGAAUUUAUAAAAAUUACAAGCAAACAGAUGGUGCUUUGCUUCUGUUAGAUUAUUAAUAAAAUAUAAAUUCGAUAUUUCUAAUAAUUAAACUAUGGAUGAACAGAAGAGAAUUUAUAAAAAUUACAAGCAAACAGAUGGUGCUUUGCUUCUGUUGGAUUAUUAAUAAAAUAUAAAUUCGAUAUUUCUAAUAAUUAAACUAUGGAUGAACAGAAGAGAAUUUAUAAAAAUUACAAGCAAACAGAUGGUGCUUUGCUUCUGUUGGAUUAUUAAGAAGAUACGUAUGUGCAAUCUUUUAAAAAAAGGAAAUUAAAUAGAAUGGGCUAUCAAUCUCUCAGUAUCAAAUGAAAUACAAGAAUAUUACUUUCUACAUUUUCAACGAUGAAAUAUUAAUUCUGAUUCCUUCAGAAUGAUUCAUAAGUUUUUUGAAAUAUUAUUUUUACAUUUGAUCAAAUUUUGAAAAACAUUUUAAAGUUUUUCCUCUAUUCCUUGGAAUAAAAAUUCAAACGAAGUCACACGAGGAGAAGGAGAGGGGAUUAAAGUUGAUGGAAUCGAAGGAGAGAAGCGUCAUGAAAGAAGAAAAAAUUGAAAGGAAUAAUUUGAUAUAUAUAUAUUCACUUUUCAAAAACAAUCUUCCUUUUUUCCUUCCCAACAUGUAUCUCCAGUGUGAAAAUGCGUUGGGACGUGUUAAUAUUUAUAACUGUACCGUGAAAUCGGUGCCGCGCGCAAAUAUACAGCUGAUCUUGAAUUCUUUUGGCAAAAGUGCCUCAGAAGAAAUGCAAAUUUCACGUAGCGACCUCGGACACACUCGGCCAGAAUCGUGAACAACUCAAACUGAAACUCAAAUAUAUCUCGAAACAGAAAGCUGUUUUACACAUUGUACGAAACACGAAGCCCCAAGUUGCAGCCACAAUGAAAAUUUUCCUCAUGGAUUUUGUCCAUGCGAAGUAAAUCCAUCAUUUGAU